rnacentral:rRNA from 1 species
AGUGAACGCUGGCGGUAGGCCUAACACAUGCAAGUCGAACGGCAGCACAGUAAGAGCUUGCUCUUACGGGUGGCGAGUGGCGGACGGGUGAGGAAUACAUCGGAAUCUACUUUUUCGUGGGGGAUAACGUAGGGAAACUUACGCUAAUACCGCAUACGACCUACGGGUGAAAGCAGGGGAUCUUCGGACCUUGCGCGAUUGAAUGAGCCGAUGUCGGAUUAGCUAGUUGGCGGGGUAAAGGCCCACCAAGGCGACGAUCCGUAGCUGGUCUGAGAGGAUGAUCGGCCACACUGGAACUGAGACACGGUCCAGACUCCUACGGGAGGCAGCAGUGGGGAAUAUUGGACAAUGGGCGCAAGCCUGAUCCAGCCAUACCGCGUGAGUGAAGAAGGCCUUCGGGUUGUAAAGCCCUUUUGUUGGGAAAGAAAAGCAGCAGGUUAAUACCCGGCUGUUCUGACGGUACCCAAUGAAUAAGCACCGGCUAACUUCGUG